UUGAAGCCCACGGCGGCUCCGGCGUCGGACUGCGAGAGGCAGGGCGAACCUGACUGGAAGCCGCCGCUGGUCCGAGUCACAUUUGUACCUACACAGCUACAAUGGUAUUUAGGUCCCCUUGUAGCCCAUCAGCCAGCACUGUUGUACCAUUGUAGCAGCUUUCCUGUGGGAGCUAUCUCCAAUCCUGUGCAUUUUGCGUGCUCAGCUGAUAUUGAAAAUACAGGCUGCUUCUGCUCAGAGACUUGUUGCUGUAUCUGAGAGCUAAUAAAAAUCAAGUAAGCAGAUCCCACCUGCACUGUUAUGUAGGACUCCGUGUAAGCUAUCAGCCAGCACCGUGCUCCAAUCCCCUGCAUUUUGCCUACUCAACUCCUAUUGAAAAUACAGACUGCUGGUAGAAGUUCUACCACUGUAUCUUGCAGCUACAAGAAAACAGGUAAGCAGACUCCACCUACAGUGGUACGUAGGUCCCCGUGUAGCCUUUUCUUUUUUAGCCUUUUUCAUCCCCUUGCAGUCACUCCAUCAGAAAAUGUUGUUACACGUCCAUUUGGUUUUCGCCCAUGCUGGAGAUUUUGUUAUCAGAAUUGGUGUUCUCUUGUCUUAACUAUGGUUCUAACUGCCUCAUGAGCAAUAACAAAGUUUAGAGGAACAUUUAAGAGAACAAAGUUUAAAUCCUUACCCCAUCACAUCAUCCAUCUUCAGAAUGCUUUUCUACUAGAGAAACAAACCUCUUUUUUUUUUGUUUUUUUUCAGGUAGGAGAACCUGAAAUACAAUACUUCACACAGAGCAAUCCAAAGACAGAGAAAAAAACAAAGGGGUGUUCCCCUAGGAGCCUUUAUGUGUGCCGGCACUGGCUCCUCCCCUCUCCCAGGUGUCAGCGUUCAGACCAGUGGGGGUGGGAAUGGGGUAUAAGAGGCACGGCCCCUGCCGAGGGAGCUCAUUCUCCUGUUGGUUUACUCUGGAGUAAGUGCUUUGGCUCUUUCUCAUGAGUGAGCUCAGCUGCUUGGGUAGAGGCUUUUUGCUAUGGAGAUAAGCAGAAAUAACUGCUUGGAGUUAAGUAUCUCAUAGAAACUGCAGUUUAAUAGAUAUUUUCAGGUCAGCAAUUUUGCAUCCAGCAUUCAGAGGUAACAAGAGGAUUUUACAACAUGCUUUGUUUUUCUUUCAGGUGUUUUGCAUUUUCCUGGACUUUUUGACUUCAGUGAAUGCAACGCUUUAUUUUCUUCUGUCUUUUUGUUUUAAGCUGUGGAAGCUGCUGAUAUCCUUUCCUUUAGUGGAAGAGAAGGUGAGAUCAUCUCAACAGUUUGAUAAUGAGGAACUCCUAUGCACAUGUGUGCCUUUUUGUGAUCUACUCCCAGAAUUCUUCUCUGGCAAGGAGCGGGACUACGUGAUCUUUUGAGACCCUUUCCGACCCUUGGGAUCCUGUGAAAGCAGAGAGCAGAGCGAAGCUGAGAGUCCAGGGGAAGAUGGAAGAUGGAAGAUGAGGAUCACCCGCAGACUCCAGUCAGAAUAACACAGAGUUCCGGGCCAUGACCUCCAAGGACAGGGAUGUCGGACAGGAGCGGGUUCUUUUCCUGAGAGAUCAGAGGAGGAAAAAAGCUUUUCAAGUUUGGAGGCCCAGGCGCAGCAGGGGAAGGGAGGUCACAGGGUGUGGAAGGAGGCGAGCAGACGGCCACGACCCUUCCCAGAGGACGUGCGGUAGGAGGGGCCGGUGCCAGAGAUGCGGCCCAUGGGUUCUGCUGCGAUUUGUGUCUUUUUGUAGGUGUCUAAGAGGAACCUGGUGACAUCUCAGCUGAUGUGGUCAGAAUCAACCCUUUGGCCCUGUGAAAGCAAGAGAAAAAAGCCGCACUCCAGAGAGUGACCCGGGGAUCGAGCAGAUUGCCAAGAGAAGGGUUUGAAGGCACAAUGGAGUCACACACAGGCACUGGAGAGAGGACUCGGCCAGGAGGACCCUCAGCCCGAUGCAGCAGGACCGAAUGACCCACGUGGAGGGCUAGAGGCCAAGGUGCCAUAAGAUGCCUGGAAGGGUGAAGCCACACGCCGAGGAGGAGGCCGAAAAGGGGCCGUGAGGGCAGCCUUCGGAGCAUUUGCAGUGAGCCGGGCUGGUAGCGAGGAGCGUGUCAGGGCCGGUGCAUUGGAAGAAGCAUUACGGUUAUUUUCGGUCUUUGAAUCUCAGGCACCUAAGGGAUGACGGCAGCGGCAUCGGACUCCGGAAGGAGCAGGGUUCCAGACGCCCAAGAGGAAUGUGGCACCUGAAGAAAGGUCUCAGCGAGCGAUGUAAUUUCCAUAGAGAUGGACUUCAGAGCAUCACGCAAAGACUGAAGCUGUGCUCCGAAUAACGACACGAGGGACAAGCAGAGCACCUCGGUGCUGCCACCGCGCGGACACAGCACGGUACCGCAGCCCGGGAGCAGCGCGUCGCAGAACUCUUGGAAUCGGACCUGCGGCUCUUCGCAAGUUAAGUACCGGGAUAAUGCCGUGCCGGGGCCGGGAGGAGGGGACAAGGUUAGGAGUUACGAGGAGGGGUUUUGUGCAGUGGCUGGGCUUUGGGGUUUUGUGCAGUGGCUGGGCUUUGGGGUUUUGUGCAGUGGCUGGGCUUUGGGGUUUUGUGCAGUGGCUGGGCUUUGGGGUUUUGUGCAGUGGCUGGGCUUUGGGGUUUUGUGCAGUGGCUGGGCUUUGGGGUUUUGGCUUUCAGGGGUUUUCUGUAGUCAGUAUGGUUUUGACCUUGGACUUUGGGAUUGUGUUUAGUUGAGUGGGCUUUUUGGGUUUUGGCUUAGGGGUUUUGUUGAGUGAGCCUGCUUUUGGCUUUGGGAUUCUCUUCAGUGAACGGGCCUUUUGAGUUUCGGCUGUGGUGUUGAGCGAGUGUGAUUUUUGGCUUCAAGGUUUUGUGUAGGGACUGGGGUUCUAUUUAGUGAGUGUGCCUUUGGGCUUUGGCUCAAUGACUUGGCCGUGGGUGAAGUGACUGGGCUUUGCAUCAGAGUGACUUGUUUUUUUUCUGUGUUUUUGAGCUUCUGUUGUGUUUGCCAGUUAAGGACAAUGCUGUGUCGGGGCUGGGAGGAGGGGAUAAGGUCGGGAGUCACAGGGAGGAGUUAUAAAGGUUAUGUAGAGGAGUGUUCCAUAGCCAGUCCCCACGAGGCAAGAAAAGGGAGGAAGUUACUACUUAGGACAAGGGCAGCGUGUGGCAGGCAGAGCGGCUCCAGCGUCUGUGUGGGGUGUCGUGUUGUCUGUCCUUUCCAUCUCAGGAAUACCUUGAGUCCCAAAGUCAUCUUUGCACUUGAGGACCACGGCACGUGACUCCGGGCACCUUCCCUGAGGUCUCAAAGAACCCUCAUCAUUCUGGUGCCAAUCGGUGCCACUUCUCUUGCAUAAGAAGCUUCAACUGUGGAUCGUCUUCACAUCUUGAGGUUCUCAGUCAGUUGUUUCCUCCAGUUUCCUUCCAGGCUGCGUCAGCAGCUCUUCUCAGUAGGCAUCGCUGUUCUGAGAUUCGGUCUCAUUCCCUUCAUCGCUGCAUUCUCUGGGACUCGAGUCAGGCUUCUUGCGCAUCCAUCAUCCCGGUCUCGACAGUAACUUCUCAUCCCGGGCCGUUCCCUUUGCCUCUUUGCGUGGCCGCCGUGGAGCCUCGCUUCUUUUUCACAGCCCCUUAGGUCUUUAGGACAUCUCCAGUCCCGGCAUCGUGUCGCCAAGUCUUCUCACUUCUGUGUCGUGUCGUCUGUGUUCUGUGUGGUGUCGGUGUCUAUAUGUGUGUGUUUACCUUAGAGCCGCUCUGCCCGGGGGUGUAGAGUCAAGGGCAGGUGGAGGAGCACUGAGUGUAUGUCACUUUGCUUUUGACAUGUGGGUUCUGGGGCUUUGGCUACUGGGUUGGGGCUUUUUUGUUUUUUGGCACUUUUGUUUUGUAAAGCAGGUGAGCUUUU